GAAGUGGUGGCUUGGCGGUUAAGGCUUUGGAUUACUGAUCGGAAGGUCAGUGGGUUCAAGCCCCAGUGCUGCC